rnacentral:tRNA from 1 species
UCCCUGCUGGCUCAGACGGUAAAGUGUCUGUCUACAAUGCGGGAGAUCAGGGUUCGAGCCCUGGGUUGGGAA